UGCCUCCUCUUCUUCCAUUUCUCUGCAAGUCCCUCCUCUUCUCGCUCAUCCUUUUUCUGCCUCCGAAGAAGAAUUUCUUACCUCUCCAUAUUCAUUGAUUUCUUACAAAAACUAAUAGAUUUUUAUGAUAACAAACACUACACCAUGAACCAGGAAGAAAAACCAUUUCGUUCUUCACUCCAGAUCUAUUUGUAUCAUUAUGUUCGAUCUAAAACCAUUUUCUGCAAUCAUAACUCAAAACCAUUCUUCUUAACCAUUUCCUUUUUCAUCUUUGUUGUUUCUGUGGUAAUUAAUAGUUCUUCUUAUUGGAACUAAAGUUAUGCUUUAAAUGAGUUUUUAGAAGACGAACAAUCAGCCUCAGUUAGAUUUCUUGAACUUCUUCAGGUCACGUCCAAAGGGUAUGGGUUUGUUGUGUUCUGUACACGUGCAGCAGCUGAGGAAAUUUUGCAGACCUAUAAUGGCCCUGCAAUGCAGAACAACCUUUAGAUUGAACUGGGCUCAUUUAGCAUGGGAGAUAAGUGUUCAAAUGUUGGUUCUGACUGUUCUAUAUCUGUAGAGGAUUUGGCUUAUGAUGUUAUAGAUUCAUUAUUGCAGGAAACUUUUGCAAGUACAUACUUGUCUGUUAGGUUCGGGAGGAUAAGGAGAGGACACAGGAAAUUUACAGAAAUGAACGGUGUUUAUUGUUCUAGUAGGCCGAUACAUGUAGGCGUUGCAACCCCAAGGAAAGCAACCUGGUUCCAGCAAAUCUCAUCUCAAGACUGUCUUGGAUACGUAUUCCUUGGUGGAUAUGGGCAGGAGGUUAGACAAAUUAUCAGUGAGCUGAUAGUAAAGAACUGAGUCUCUCAGUGGCGCCGAUGUCCCUAUGGUUCUCAAAUUUGGGAGCACAUCCUAGUCCGGGUUCGCUGAUCUUAUUCGUUUGAGGAAAAGUUUUGUAGGAGGUAUGAAUGGCUAAGGAGAGCAAGACGUUGUUGGUAUGAAUUGCGUCUUUGUUAUUGAAGUCAAUGAUCACACUCCUUCAUAGGUGUGAUUAAAUGAGUAAUAUGGAAGUGGAUAACCACCUGAUGAACACCAACAGUGAUUCCAUAAACAUCUAAAUCCUGGUGCAAGUCGCGACAAUCUCUUUGAGUUCUCCAACUAGUUGAAAGUAUAGAUGGAGGUUAGAACACGCUCCUCCUUUAAGGUUAGUUUGAUGAAAGGUGGGUGGCGUGUUUUGACUCAAGGCGACAUUCUCUCUAUCCAGGAUUCGGUGCCCCUUCUUUCAGUGGUACUAUAAUUCCUCUUUCUAUCUCUGUAUUCCCUCUUUUGGUCGAUCUACAUUCCAGGAAAUUCAUACACUCCAUCUUUUCGACGCUCAAGUGAGGCAUGGUUUGAUGAAAGCAAGGGAGCAAGAGGGCUGCUAUUUCGUUACCUAUCUUCAUAGGAAUGAGUGGAAUAAUGGCAAAUUGCCGGGUACAUCAAGAUUACUUAACACCUAGCCCAAAGUUGCUUUCCCAGAUCACUGCACUACGUAUCAUCCUAAAGUGUUAAAGCAUGGGAUGGCUCAAUCAGCACUUAGAAACAUAAGCUUGUGAAAUAACUACUCCUAAUUCCAGACCUGUCAAUGCGAAUGGAACCACCUUUUUCCCAUAGAGCUUGUCUGCCCCCCUAUUUGAAUGUAAAUAUAAUAGAUGAAUAGUCAUUCCAUGAAUAAUCAGGAGUUCCUUCUUUCUAUCUCUCUCCCGGUGAAAGCAGCUACUUUCAUUAUUGUACAAGUAAACCUGAUGGGACGUCGGCCUUUGCUAAGGACUUUGCCGGGGAGAUAGAAUAAUUAUUCUUAGCUAGCUUUCUUGAGUAAGACUUUCAUUUAAAGGGUAAAAGCCCGUCGUUAUACUUGGUCUAGAGGUGCUAUUUACGCCCAACCUUUCACUCUACAUUCGAAAGAACCGACCCCAGGUAGUCGAGUCUCUAACACCAACCUAUAAUAUUGAAAUGAUAUACCACAACCCAAGGGCAGGUCCAAGGUCAUGGAUAAGAAAGUAGGUUGGCGAGGACCCCAUCUUAUACCAGCAUUUCUUUUGGUUCUUCGGGCAUCGAAUUUCACAUAACAAUUCACAGUGAGGCAGAACAACCUCUGGUUAAGAAAAGGUACCUGAAAUCCAAACAUAGGGGAUCUAAUCCCAUAGAGAUGAUAAAUCUUCUCCUCUAAAUUCAAUGAAAUGCCCAUGCUAUGAUCUCAUUGAAUCCACUCUUCUGACCAAUGCCCUUGAGAUGAUCUUCCAGUUCCUAAAAGUCUCAACUUUAGUGAGUAUCCAGGAACUACCUCAGUCAUUGCCCGGGCUAGCCUCAAGCUAGAAAGAUUUAUCGCGACCGGAGCUCAACAAGAUAGUCGAGUUAGAGAGGACAAAACAGAAAGUAUCAUGGUACGUCGUCCUUCCUUAAAAUGAAACUUUCAUGCUGGAGCAAGAACUAGCAUAAAAGGUCGAUCUAUUACGACCAGCACGGUUGUUCGUUAUUUCAUUUUCUCUUCAUGUACUUCGUGCUGAUGAAGGUGUGGGUAGGGAAGGUCUACUUGGUGUAGUUGGAUUCCUCAAAGAUCUACAGUGUACUGUUCAGGAAUUUUUGGCUCAGUUCAUCAUCGGGAAGAAUUCAGGAAUUACAUGUGCGACUUGUAUGAAUUCAGGACUUCAUUAAUUAGUUUCUUUUGUGAUAUUGAACCCAAGUGUAAACUGAUUUCAGUUCUGAAUUCUGCAACCAAUACAAUGAUUUUUAUUUAAAUAGACAUUUGAAUAUACAAAACCUGGUUUUAUUUUA